rnacentral:tRNA from 1 species
UAUACAGCGGUGUAGGGGCACAAAGAAUUUUGAUUUCUUAGGAGAGGUUCAUUACCUUCUGAU